rnacentral:rRNA from 1 species
CGCCAGACUCCUACGGGAGGCAGCAGUGGGGGAUAUUGCACAAUGGGGGAAACCCUGAUGCAGCGACGCCGCGUGGGCGAAGAAGUAUUUCGGUAUGUAAAGCCCUAUCAGCAGGGAAGAAGAAAUGACGGUACCUGAGUAAGAAGCACCGGCUAAAUACGUGCCAGCAGCCGCGGUAAUACGUAUGGUGCAAGCGUUAUCCGGAUUUACUGGGUGUAAAGGGAGCGCAGGCGGCACGGCAAGCCUGAUGGGAAAGCCCGCGGCCCAACCGCGGGACUGCAUUGGGAACUACCGGGCUGGAGUGCCGGAGAGGUAGGCGGAAUUCCUGGUGUAGCGGUGAAAUGCGUAGACAUCAGGAGGAACACCGGUGGCGAAGGCGGCCUGCUGGACUGCGACUGACGUUGAGGCCCGAAAGCGUGGGGAGCAAACAGGAUUAGAUACCCGUGUAA